rnacentral:rRNA from 1 species
UACGUAGGGAGCGAGCGUUGUCCGGAAUUACUGGGUGUAAAGGGAGCGUAGGCGGGGAUGCAAGUUGGGUGUCAAAACUACCGGCUCAAUUGGUAGUCGCACUCAAAACUGCAGCUCUUGAGUGAAGUAGAGGCAGGCGGAAUUCCUAGUGUAGCGGUGAAAUGCGUAGAUAUUAGGAGGAACACCAGUGGCGAAGGCGGCCUGCUGGGCUUUUACUGACGCUGAGGCUCGAAAGUGUGGGGAGCAAACAGG